rnacentral:tRNA from 1 species
UCCCGUAUCGUCUAACCGGUAGGACAACGCACUUUGACUGCGUCAAUCGUGGUUCGAAUCCAUGUGCGGGAG